rnacentral:tRNA from 1 species
GGAGAGAUGGCUCAGUGGUUAAGAGCACUGGCUGCUCUUCCAGACAACCUGGGUUCAAAUCCCAGCAUCCG